rnacentral:lncRNA from 10 species
CCUCACCUACCAUCAUGAGUUCAAUAUUUUGGGCCACAGAUUGACAUUUCUCUAUAAGUAUGCAAGUCCAAUCUGGUCAGGUCAGAGACAAAAUUUCAGAGGGCUUCCUGGACCCGGCAGCCAACAGCCCAGAAGCAAGGCCCACCUAGCCUCGGGAGCCUUUGUCCUGGGGCAGAUGGUCAGCGCGGGCACGACAGGAGGGGCCCUCUGGACCACUCCCCGAGGACCCAGGACUCUCCUAGAGACAGGGCCUUGGAUCCUGGGACAGAGGGAAGCAGAGGCCUUGCGAGUUGGCGGUAGCGGCGUCCGUGACCUCCACCCCCUGAGCUGCGGGACCCGGUGACUCCCAGGAAGAGCACGAGCCUCUGCCGGCCGCUCCAGCAGCCACUCCCUUCCCGCCUCCCGCUAGCUGCCGCGGGCGGCAGGGGACUGAGGGUCAAACCCGAACUCCAGCGGUUCCCCUCAGAUAGUGGGACCAACCCGGAGCUCCAGUGCGGCAGGACCCGGCCCGGGCUGCCCCAGCUGCGCCUCGCUUCCGGCUACAAGUUUGCCCCGUGCCCGCCAAAUUGAGAAAGCAAGACAUUGAGAGGUUUGGUAGUAUGCCCAUACUUGCAUGUCUGUGCACCAAGAAGCAAGAAGCCAAAGACAGCUGUUUCUGACUACAAAGACCAUUCUCGCUUUACCAUACCAUGCAACAACUUGGACUAUCAGAGAGGCUGCAACUUGCCCAUGCUGAUGAGCCCAGAGAUGAACCCAGAAGCUCCAUGUCCACACUCCAUGCUGGAAGCUCCUUCCUUAGGGUUGCAUUACCCUGAGUCAGCAGCAGGAAGCCAGAGAGCAGUAAUGGCAUGGAUGGGUGUUUACAUCAUUUUUUACAACAGUGGAGUUUGCACUAUUGCUUUGAAAAUCCUUGCUUGACAGCAUUCCAGGCACACAUUAGGAACAGACAGUCCACCCACCAGGCACAUUUACUUCUUGUGCCAGAACUCCAUCUGUAUUUCGAAACUGCUGGUAGGCCUCAUCCAGUCAGCUGAGACCUGAAUUAAACAAAAUGCCUGAAUAAGAGGGAAUUUCCUCCUGCGUGACUGCCUUGAGGUGGAACAUCAGUGUUUUUGCUGCCAUCAGACUCAUACUGAAACGCUGGUCUUUCUGGAUCCCAAGCCUCUAGGCCUUUGGACUGGAACUGCACCAUCAGCAUUUCUGUGUCUCCAGCUUGUCAACUGCAGAUCUGGGGACUUGUCAGCCUUCAUGAUGACGUGAAUAAUGAAACAAAUGAUGAUACAUCCACACCACAGAAUCCUACUCAGCAAGAAAAAUAAACUAUUACUGCCUGCACAAAUUGGAUAAACCUCAAGGGAGUUACUCUG